UAUCGCUCAUUGGUCAUUCGCGAGUCGACAUUCGCUCAGCGUGCCACCUCAUUAGCGGUUUCCAGUCACAAAAAUGCGAAAUGUGCUUAUUCCGAGAUGCGUUUGGCAAUAUUGUUAAUUGUUUUUGUGUGUAUUGUGAGUGCGAAUGCGGCAGACAUGAUUGUCGGUGAUACGGUUCAUAGGAAGAUGGUGUUUCACCAACGAGUGAAAGAGUUCGCAAUACCGUUUAAGAAAAGAAUCAAGACCUUGACGUAUGUUGAUGUGGAGAAGAGAUUGAUUAAAGGUGUCCAAGUCUUGGACGCAGACUUCUCCCUGGCCAGCGCCAACAUCACGGAGGGAGGCGUCGGGUUCCACCACGUCACCGUGAGGAUGAAGAGCCAGCGCAGCCAUCCACUCAACUACGAGGUGGAGGUCUACGUGUAGACUUAGGCUAUAACGUGCUGCCGCUACAUGAGUUAGUACGGGGCGCUAUUUAAUACGUGACAAAAGUUCUCCGUCGCGCUCUUGAGGCUGCGCGAUGUGAGUGCGCGCGAUGCAAACCUCUUGUCACGUCUUAAAUGCGCCCCGUACUAGCCCUUCUAGAGGAAAAAAAGGUGAAGAAGAGAGAUACCAACAUCAAGAUUACGAGAGAGAUAUUCCCUAGCAGCAAUGAUAAAAUGGGUACAAAGCACAAAAAUGAGGCGGUAUAGAUAGAAUUCAAGUAUGUUAUUUUAGAAUCGGACUCUUGUGAAUCAUUUUAAUUAUAUCCCAUUCAAAGUAUUUCAAAUUUUCAGAGUAAUAAUAAUAUGCUUGAUAAUCUAAUGUCAGAAUAUAGAUAUUUUUGUUUAUUAAAAUUAGUAAGUAUAACUAUAUAGAUUGUUUGUUUCCUAAUAAGUAGGUACAUAGGUAGUACAUAGGUACAUAGAUACCAACUUUGUACAAUAUUGAGUAGAGACUGACCUUUGUACUCGUAUACCUAGUCUAUGUAAGUAAAAUAUAUUAAAACUGGGUCAAACUAUUCAGUUUUCUUGAUUCACUCAUUGGUAUUUUUAAUGUUGUCGUUCUGCUAAUAUAUUGUUAUGUUUACAGUCCAAAGUUCAUAUUUUACUGGAGAAAGUAUUGUAGUGUAUAUUGUACAAAUAGUUACUUUAGGUACUUUAAU